AAAUCAGUACACCCAGUAAAAAGUUAUUACGGAUUUUCGAGAGUUUUCCUCGAUAUCUCUGAGAUACCAUCAUCAAAUCCUAGUUUCCUUAUUAUGCUACCACCCUUAGGAUAUCUCCUUUCCAAC